rnacentral:tRNA from 1 species
GUCCCCUUCGUCUAGUGGCCUAGGUCACCGCCUUUGCAUGGCGGUAACAGGAGGGGGGCGAGUCCCCUAGGGGACGCCA